rnacentral:lncRNA from 1 species
GUUUGACUCUUGACAAGCUAGAUGGAGGCUUGGGGAAAGAAGCGGGUCAAACGGAUCGUAUACGCGGAAAAGAGCAUAAUCCGGAUACUAGGAAUAAAUAUCGAUUGAAUGUUGACAUCGCUAUUACUUAGCGGCUACUAAGGCAAGGUGAAGAUGGACCUAAUCCGGAUGAAGAUCAAGCGGCGAGCAAGAACCGAACACACGUUAAAUGAAGCUUCCGCGUCAAAUCUUGAUUUGUGUUGAUAUAAGUGAAUUAUGUAAACACUUAUAAAUUGUUUUUGAAAUGUUGUAAUCAUUUGGGAAUGUUGGUAUAACAAGUUUUGUAAAGACACAUUUUAGCAUAAAAAUUUGUAUCUU